GCUUAACACAUGCAAGUCGAGGGGCAGCAUGGUCUUAGCUUGCUAAGGCCGAUGGCGACCGGCGCACGGGUGAGUAACACGUAUCCAACCUGCCGUCUACUCUUGGACAGCCUUCUGAAAGGAAGAUUAAUACAAGAUGGCAUCAUGAGUCCGCAUGUUCACAUGAUUAAAGGUAUUCCGGUAGACGAUGGGGAUGCGUUCCAUUAGAUAGUAGGCGGGGUAACGGCCCACCUAGUCUUCGAUGGAUAGGGGUUCUGAGAGGAAGGUCCCCCACAUUGGAACUGAGACACGGUCCAAACUCCUACGGGAGGCAGCAGUGAGGAAUAUUGGUCAAUGGGCGAGAGCCUGAACCAGCCAAGUAGCGUGAAGGAUGACUGCCCUAUGGGUUGUAAACUUCUUUUAUAAAGGAAUAAAGUCGGGUAUGGAUACCCGUUUGCAUGUACUUUAUGAAUAAGGAUCGGCUAACUCCGUGCCAGCAGCCGCGGUAAUACGGAGGAUCCGAGCGUUAUCCGGAUUUAUUGGGUUUAAAGGGAGCGUAGAUGGAUGUUUAAGUCAGUUGUGAAAGUUUGCGGCUCAACCGUAAAAUUGCAGUUGAUACUGGAUAUCUUGAGUGCAGUUGAGGUAGGCGGAAUUCGUGGUGUAGCGGUGAAAUGCUUAGAUAUCACGAAGAACUCCGAUUGCGAAGGCAGCCUGCUAAGCUGCAACUGACAUUGAGGCUCGAAAGUGUGGGUAUCAAACAGGAUUAGAUACCCUGGUAGUCCACACGGUAAACGAUGAAUACUCGCUGUUUGCGAUAUACAGCAAGCGGCCAAGCGAAAGCGUUAAGUAUUCCACCUGGGGAGUACGCCGGCAACGGUGAAACUCAAAGGAAUUGACGGGGGCCCGCACAAGCGGAGGAACAUGUGGUUUAAUUCGAUGAUACGCGAGGAACCUUACCCGGGCUUAAAUUGCAGAUGAAUUACGGUGAAAGCCGUAAGCCGCAAGGCAUCUGUGAAGGUGCUGCAUGGUUGUCGUCAGCUCGUGCCGUGAGGUGUCGGCUUAAGUGCCAUAACGAGCGCAACCCUUGUUGUCAGUUACUAACAGGUUCCGCUGAGGACUCUGACAAGACUGCCAUCGUAAGAUGUGAGGAAGGUGGGGAUGACGUCAAAUCAGCACGGCCCUUACGUCCGGGGCUACACACGUGUUACAAUGGGGGGUACAGAGGGCCGCUACCACGCGAGUGGAUGCCAAUCCCCAAAACCUCUCUCAGUUCGGACUGGAGUCUGCAACCCGACUCCACGAAGCUGGAUUCGCUAGUAAUCGCGCAUCAGCCACGGCGCGGUGAAUACGUUCCCGGGCCUUGUACACACCGCCCGUCAAGCCAUGGGAGCCGGGGGUACCUGAAGUGCGUAACCGCGAGGAGCGCCCUAGGGUAAAACUGGUGACUGGGGCUAAGUCAUAACA
rnacentral:rRNA from 1 species